rnacentral:misc_RNA from 1 species
CGCUGGUUCCCCCACUCCGAGAGGAGGCAGCAGUGGGUCCCACUCCUACGGGAGGCAGCAGUGGUACCCCUACGGGAGGCAACAGUGGGACUCCUACGGGAGGCAGCAGUGGGACUCCUACGGGAGGCAGCAGUGGGACUCCUACGGGAGGCAGCAGUGGGACUCCUACGGGAGGCAGCAGUGGGGCAGUUGGCUCAGAACGAACGCUGGCGGCUGGCUCAGAACGAACGCUGGCGGCCUGGCUCAGAACGAACGCUGGCGGCUGGCUCAGAACGAACGCUGGCGGCUGGCUCAGAACGAACGCUGG